GACGAACGCUGGCGGCGCGCCUAACACAUGCAAGUCGAACGAGAGAGAGGGAGCUUGCUUCCUUGAUCGAGUGGCGAACGGGUGAGUAACGCGUGAGGAACCUGCCUCAAAGAGGGGGACAACAGUUGGAAACGACUGCUAAUACCGCAUAAGCCCACGGUGCCGCAUGGCACAGAGGGAAAAGGAGCAAUCCGCUUUGAGAUGGCCUCGCGUCCGAUUAGCUAGUUGGUGAGGUAACGGCCCACCAAGGCGACGAUCGGUAGCCGGACUGAGAGGUUGAACGGCCACAUUGGGACUGAGACACGGCCCAGACUCCUACGGGAGGCAGCAGUGGGGAAUAUUGCACAAUGGGGGAAACCCUGAUGCAGCGACGCCGCGUGGAGGAAGAAGGUCUUCGGAUUGUAAACUCCUGUUGUUGAGGAAGAUAAUGACGGUACUCAACAAGGAAGUGACGGCUAACUACGUGCCAGCAGCCGCGGUAAAACGUAGGUCACAAGCGUUGUCCGGAAUUACUGGGUGUAAAGGGAGCGCAGGCGGGCGAUCAAGUUGGAAGUGAAAUCCAUGGGCUCAACACAUGAACUGCUUUCAAAACUGGUCGUCUUGAGUAGUGCAGAGGUAGGCGGAAUUCCCGGUGUAGCGGUGGAAUGCGUAGAUAUCGGGAGGAACACCAGUGGCGAAGGCGGCCUACUGGGCACCAACUGACGCUGAGGCUCGAAAGUGUGGGUAGCAAACAGGAUUAGAUACCCUGGUAGUCCACACCGUAAACGAUGCAUACUAGGUGUUGGGAGAUUGACCCUCUCAGUCCGGCAGUUAACACAAUAAGUAAUCCACCCUGGGGAGUACGACCCGCAAGGUGAAAAUUCAAAGGAAAUGACGGGGGCCCGCCCAAGCAGUGGAGUAUGUGGUUUAAUUCGACGCAACGCGAAGAACCUUACCAAGUCUUGACAUCCCUUGACGAUGCUGGAAACAGUAUUUCUCUUCGGAGCAAGGAGACAGGUGGUGCAUGGUUGUCGUCAGCUCGUGUCGUGAGAUGUUGGGUUAAGUCCCGCAACGAGCGCAACCCUUAUGGUCAGUUACUACGCAAGAGGACUCUGGCCAGACUGCCGUUGACAAAACGGAGGAAGGUGGGGAUGACGUCAAAUCAUCAUGCCCUUUAUGACUUGGGCUACACACGUACUACAAUGGCGUUAAACAAAGAGAAGCAAGACCGCGAGGUGGAGCAAAACUCAGAAACAACGUCCCAGUUCGGACUGCAGGCUGCAACUCGCCUGCACGAAGUCGGAAUUGCUAGUAAUCGUGGAUCAGCAUGCCACGGUGAAUACGUUCCCGGGCCUUGCACACACCUCCCGUC
rnacentral:rRNA from 1 species